rnacentral:rRNA from 1 species
AUUGAACGCUGGCGGCAGGCCUAACACAUGCAAGUCGAGCGGCAGCGGGAAAGUAGCUUGCUACUUUUGCCGGCGAGCGGCGGACGGGUGAGUAAUGCCUGGGAAAUUGCCCAGUCGAGGGGGAUAACAGUUGGAAACGACUGCUAAUACCGCAUACGCCCUACGGGGGAAAGCAGGGGACCUUCGGGCCUUGCGCGAUUGGAUAUGCCCAGGUGGGAUAGCUAGUUGGUGAGGUAAUGGCUGACCAAGGCGACGAUCCCUAGCUGGUCUGAGAGGAUGAUCAGCCACACUGGACCUGAGACACGGUCCAGACUCCUACGGGAGGCAGCAGUGGGGAAUAUUGCACAAUGGGGGAAACCCUGAUGCAGCCAUGCCGCGUGUGUGAAGAAGGCCUUCGGGUUGUAAAGCACUUUCAGCGAGGAGGAAGGGUUGAUGCCUAAUACGUAUCAACUGUGACGUUACUCGCAGAAGAAGCACCGGCUAACUCCGUGCCAGCAGCCGCAGUAAAAC